GCGGGCUUAGCUCAGUUGGGAGAGCGUCAGACUGAAGUGCACUUCGGACAUUGGAAUCUGAAGGUCGUGUGUUCGAUCCACACAGACCGCA
rfam:Magnaporthe poae ATCC 64411 unplaced genomic scaffold supercont1.5, whole genome shotgun sequence.